rnacentral:rRNA from 1 species
CAGCCGCCGCGGGAAUACAGAGGGUGCGAGCGUUAAUCGGAUUUACUGGGCGUAAAGCGUGCGUAGGCGGCUUCUUAAGUCGGAUGUGAAAUCCCUGAGCUUAACUUAGGAAUUGCAUUCGAUACUGGGAAGCUAGAGUAUGGGAGAGGAUGGUAGAAUUCCAGGUGUAGCGGUGAAAUGCGUAGAGAUCUGGAGGAAUACCGAUGGCGAAGGCAGCCAUCUGGCCUAAUACUGACGCUGAGGCUCGAAAGCGUGGGGAGCAAACAGGAUUAGAUACCCCUGUAGUCCCUGUCUCUUAUAC